UGACUUUGAGAUGGGACUCUGAUAUAACUGAUGAGGAGGAAUGUGGUGAUGCCUCUUAACUAUAAAAGAGAAAUUAAAAACGUUGUCUGUCCAUAUGAUGAUAAUGUGGACAUGAUGCCAACAAAAUCAAGCCAUUCUUGAACACAGACCUUGCCCCAUUACAGGUAUUACUGUCUGAAAAAGGAUUUUAUCAGUCUCAAUACUGAUAUUUCUGUUUCAUAUACCACUGGAGUAUCUCCGAAGGUUUGCGGCAGAAGACAUGAUCACGGCUCUGACAGAUAACACCAAUGAGUACAGUUUCCAAAAGAGAGAAGUAUAGCGGAGGAUUUUCUUUUUCCGGGUGGAUCAUCAAGAAUAUUGGUCAACCUAGUUGUCAAUCAUUCUGGUGAUAUGUUUACGUAAGGCCCUUGUACGUGCUCGUCCCUAGGUUUGCUUUCUGAACAUGCGCACUUUCAGGUGUAUAUGUGUGGUGAGUGAGCUACGUUUUCAGCCAUUCAUUUAAGCUCGCAUUCUCACCGUGUUUUUUCAAAAUGUCUGAGGGUCGCAAGAGAAAAAGUGUCUACGAAUUGUAUGACAAGAAGAGAAAGAAUAUUGGGAGAAUAUUUCACGCGCUGGCGUGCAAUAAAAGCACAGGUUGGGCUACCCACUGAUGCCUCAGUCGCGAAGUUUCUACUCGACAGGUCAGGGCAUCAUCUGGUCAAGGUGUCGUAUUAUUGACCUUCUUGCAGUGGAUCCCAUUAUUCCAAAGGGUCUUGUUCGGCCACUCUGUCUGCUGUGUUCAUGAUUAGCAGUGCCUGGUUUGGUUGACCUCAUCUGGGGUGAUGCAGCCGAGAAUGUGGGUGCAUAGAAUGGGUCACCAACUUAGUGUAAAGCAUACAGAUGAACUCAUAGAGUAACAUACUCCUUGAAGAAACUGUAAAAUGUUAGUGUUUGUGUCCCUGUCUGUGAAAACCAGGCUAAAGUCUGAUUAAAGAUUAGGAGCAUUAAAGUUUGAUUUUAAUCAUUAAUUUCGUAUUGAUUUCAAUCUUUGACAUGGCCUUACUCAGUCAAUAUUACACAUAUCAAAGUUAUAUUUUCACAGAAUGUUCAUUACAUUAUGUAAGCUGAUUUUUAUGUAGAAACGGUACGGCUUUAUCUGGGUUUUCAAAGACUGAGGUAAAUUUAAAUGUACGAAUUGGGGUUUUGCAUUUAACGACACAGACUAAUAACUGCAUUUACAGUCAUAACAUGAUUUGUAAUACUGUAUAGUGUUACCUGAAUAAUCAAUUAGUUUUUGAUUGUUGUUCAUGAGUCUCUUGUUUGUCCUGAGCCAUUAAACUGUCCACCGGUU